rnacentral:rRNA from 1 species
AGCGAACGCUGGCGGCAGGCCUAACACAUGCAAGUCGAACGAACUCUUCGGAGUUAGUGGCGGACGGGUGAGUAACACGUGGGAACGUGCCUUUAGGUUCGGAAUAACUCAGGGAAACUUGUGCUAAUACCGAAUGUGCCCUUCGGGGGAACGGUUUAUCGCCUUUAGAGCGGCCCGCGUCUGAUUAGCUAGUUGGUGAGGUAAAGGCUCACCAAGGCGACGAUCAGUAGCUGGUCUGAGAGGAUGAUCAGCCACAUUGGGACUGAGACACGGCCCAAACUCCUACGGGAGGCAGCAGUGGGGAAUCUUGCGCAAUGGGCGAAAGCCUGACGCAGCCAUGCCGCGUGAAUGAUGAAGGUCUUAGGAUGGUAAAAUUCUUUCACCGGGGACGAUAAUGACGGUACCCGGAGAAGAAGCCCCGGCUAACUUCGUG